CCUACGGGUGGCAGCAGUGAGGAAUAUUGGUCAAUGGACGAGAGUCUGAACCAGCCAAGUAGCGUGAAGGAUGACUGCCCUAUGGGUUGUAAAUUCCUUUUAUAUGGGAAUAAAAUGUUCCACGUGUGGGUUUUUGUAUGUACCUUAUGAAUAAGGAUCGGAGAACUCCGUGCCAGCAGCCGCGGUAAUACGGAGGAUCCGAUCGUUAUCCGGAUUUAUUGGGUUUAACGGGAGCGUAGGUGGAUUGUUAAGUCAGUUGUGAAAUUUUGUGGCUCAACCGUAAAAUUGCAGUUGAAACUGGCAGUCUUGAGUACAGUAGAGGUGGGCGGAAUUCGUGGUGUAGCGGUGAAAUGCUUAGAUAUCACGAAGAACUCCGAUUGCGAAGGCAGUUCACUGGACUGCAACUGACACUGAGGCUCGAAAGUGUGGGUAUCAAACAGGAUUAGAUACCCCAGUAGUC
rnacentral:rRNA from 1 species